AACACACGUAAACCAAGUCUACACUAGGAACAAAGGAAGUGGAAAUCUGCCGGUGUCAGGUUGAAAUACACUGAAAUUGGCUGGAAAACCCCUGAAGGGCCUGAGUUCUGUGUAUUUCCAUGAGAAUCUAGUGUAAGAAGGAUAAAGAAGAAGUGGAGAGAAUUUCUUCAAGAAGGCGGAGAGAAAUUAAAAGUAGUUCUACUCUUAAA